rnacentral:rRNA from 1 species
ACAAAAAGUACUAUCAAUUAAAUAAAAUGGUGAAACAAAAGAAUAGCGAAGAAGAAGCAAAUGCGCUUCACGCUAAUUCCAAGUACCAACACAAAACAAAUUCAAUGUUUGGUGAAGCAACUUGCUUAGUGGCGGACGGGUGAGUAACGCGUGAACAAUCUGCCCCGUACAAAGGGAUAGCCUCGGGAAACCGGGAUUAAAACCAUAUAACACUUAACUGCCGCAUGGUAGUGAAGUCAAAUCGAGUAAGAGGUAUGGGAUGAGUUCGCGUCUGAUUAGCUAGUUGGUGAGGUAAGGGCUCACCAAGGCGACGAUCAGUAGCCGGCCUGAGAGGGUGAACGGCCACACUGGAACUGAGACACGGUCCAGACUCCUACGGGAGGCAGCAGUGGGGAAUAUUGCACAAUGGAGGGAACUCUGAUGCAGCGACGCCGCGUGAGUGAAGAAGGUCUUCGGAUCGUAAAACUCUGUCCUUGGUGAAGAAAAGGACGGUAGCCAAGGAGGAAGCCCCGGCUAACUACGUG